GACGAACGCUGGCGGCGUGCUUAACACAUGCAAGUCGAACGGAAAGGCCCUGCUUUUGUGGGGUGCUCGAGUGGCGAACGGGUGAGUAACACGUGAGUAACCUGCCCUUGACUUUGGGAUAACUUCAGGAAACUGGGGCUAAUACCGGCUAGGAGCUCCUGCUGCAUGGUGGGGGUUGGAAAGUUUCGGCGGUUGGGGAUGGACUCGCGGCUUAUCAGCUUGUUGGUGGGGUAGUGGCUUACCAAGGCUUUGACGGGUAGCCGGCCUGGGAGGGUGACCGGCCACAUUAGGACUGAGAUACGGCCCAGACUCCUACGGGAGGCAGCAGUGGGGAGUAUUGCACAAUGGGCGGAAGCCUGAUGCGGCAACGCCGCGUGCGGGAUGACGGCCUUCGGGUUGUAAACCGCUUUCGCCUGUGACGAAGCGUGAGUGACGGUAAUGGGUAAAGAAGCACCGGCUAACUACGUG
rnacentral:rRNA from 1 species